UACGUAGGGUGCGAGCGUUGUCCGGAAUUAUUGGGCGUAAAGAGCUCGUAGGCGGCUUGUCGCGUCGGAUGUGAAAGCCCGGGGCUUAACUCCGGGUCUGCAUUCGAUACGGGCAGGCUAGAGUUCGGUAGGGGAGAUCGGAAUUCCUGGUGUAGCGGUGAAAUGCGCAGAUAUCAGGAGGAACACCGGUGGCGAAGGCGGUUCUCUGGGCAUUUCCUGACGCUGAGAAGCGAAAGCGUGGGGAGCAAACAGG
rnacentral:rRNA from 1 species